UACGUAGGGACCAAGCGUUGUUCGGAUUUACUGGGCGUAAAGGGCGCGUAGGCGGCAAUUCAAGUCAUCUGUGAAAUCUCCGGGCUUAACUCGGAAUGGUCAGGUGAUACUGCUUUGCUAGAGUGCAGAAGGGGCAAUCGGAAUUCUUGGUGUAGCGGUGAAAUGCGUAGAUAUCAAGAGGAACACCUGAGGUGAAGACGGGUUGCUGGGCUGACACCGACGCUGAGGCGCGAAAGCUAGGGGAGCAAACGGG
rnacentral:rRNA from 1 species